GGAGAGGUGCUCGAGUGGCUGAAGAGGCACGCCUGGAAAGCGUGUGUGCGCCAAAAGCGUACCGAGGGUUCGAAUCCCUCUCUCUCCG
rnacentral:tRNA from 1 species